UACGUAGGGUGCAAGCGUUACUCGGAAUUACUGGGCGUAAAGCGUGCGCAGGCGGUUAUGUAAGACAGUUGUGAAAUCCCCGGGCUCAACCUGGGAACUGCAUCUGUGACUGCAUAGCUAGAGUACGGUAGAGGGGGAUGGAAUUCCGCGUGUAGCAGUGAAAUGCGUAGAUAUGCGGAGGAACACCGAUGGCGAAGGCAAUCCCCUGGACCUGUACUGACGCUCAUGCACGAAAGCGUGGGGAGCAAACAGG
rnacentral:rRNA from 1 species